rnacentral:rRNA from 1 species
AUGGACUCGCCAUCUCCUUGGAGAACACUACUGGCCUCUCUCAUCAUACUCAUGGCGCUCGUCUCGCCCACCGCAGCCCCGCCGCCAACCCCCGGGGAGCAAGCAGGGGCGCUCCUGGCCUGGAGAGCCACCCUCGGCGGCCAAAGCCAGCGCGCCCUGCGAUCCUGGGGAAACACGUCGACGCUCUGCAGCUGGCGCGGCGUCAGGUGCGGCGCGCGGCGCCGGCCGGUGAUCACCGGCGUCCACCUGCGCGGGGUGCGGCUCGCAGGGACGCUUGGGUCCCUCGACUUCGCGGCCCUGAGGGCCCUGACGAGUCUCGACCUCUGGCGCAACAGGCUGGCCGGGAGCAUUCCUCCGAGCAUCGCGGCCCUCGGCGAGCUCCAUGCCCUGCUCCUGCAAGGCAACCAGAUAAGCGGCUCCAUCCCACCUUCUCUAGCAAACCUCACGAGGCUGCAUCUCCUGAUGCUCCAUGACAACCAAAUCUCCGGCGAAAUAGCAGGACAGAUAGGAGAGCUGGGUAACCUUGUGAGCCUAGACUUGUCAGGCAAUCAGCUGGUUGGUAGUAUCCCCUGUGAAAUAGGCCACCUAAAUCACCUGGUCAGGUUGGAUUUGUCUGACAACAAGCUUUCAGGUCCGGUUUCCUUCUGUCCAGCCAAUAACUCCACAGUAAAUUUAGAAAAUCUGAAUAGGCUGUCAUUAUCCAGGAAUAACCUAGCAGGUCCCAUUUCCAAAGAUAUUGUGAAUUUAUCCAGCCUCCAACACCUCGACAUAAGCCAAAACAAUUUUUCCGGCUUGAUCCCGGGCGGUGUAGGUGGCCUGAACAAACUCACAUUCCUGCAUCUUUCAGAUAAUCAGCUUUCGGGACCGAUUCCUCCGGAAAUCGGAAACUUACAGAGGCUUAAGCAGCUUAACCUUAGUGCAAACCAUCUUGAAGGCUAUAUUCCAACUAGUUUAGGAAACUUAACACAGUUAACAGCUCUAAAUCUUUCGACUAACGAGCUCAUCGGGCCCAUCCCUAAAGAAAUAAGGAAUUUAGUGAACUUAGAAAGUUUGGGACUAGGACAGAACAAACUUACGGCGUCCAUUCCAAACAGUCUGGGGAAUCUGACAAAACUCACCACCUUGGACCUUCAUGAUAACCAACUUUCUGGAAACAUCCCUCGAGAGCUAGGUUAUUUAGUGAACUUGGAGGAAUUGAACAUUUACAACAACACACUAAGUGGUUCCAUCCCAAGUAGCUUAGGGAACUUGACAAAGCUCACAACUCUAUACCUUUGCUAUAACCAAUUGUCUGGAUCCAUUCCACAAGAAAUUGGAAACUUGAGAAAUCUCGUUUGGUUGACUCUAAGUUCUAACAAACUCUCCGGUCCCCUGCCAUCCGGUCUUUGUUCCGGAGGCCGGCUACAAAAUUUCACUGCUUAUAACAACAUGUUGGUUGGACCCUUGCCAACAAGCUUGCUAAGAUGCACAAGCCUGGUACGAUUUCGUCUUGAACGAAAUCAGCUCCAAGGAGAUAUCUCUGAGAUGGGGACCCAAAUCUUGUCUACAUAG